AGCGAGUGGGAUCGAUACGGAGAGCUGAAUUCCAAAGAAAAGAGCAGCCUUUGUAGAAUCCGAUGAGCUCCCCUGUCUCGAACCCGAGUUUCAAACCAAGAUGACGAGCGUCUUCACGACCCGACACAAGACCCUCUUUGUAACCCUCGUCGAAGCCUUGUUGAAUAUGUGUCUCCUCUAAACGCACGACACAGUCGAGGAAAUCAUCUUCGUUCAGACCAGCAGAACUCAUAGAAACUUGUUUUGUAUUGUUGUUGACGAAAGCUAAAUCAGACUGAACACCCAAACCAAACAGAAGAAGAAGAGUAUAGAGAUCGAUCUGUGAUAUGCUUAACAAGGUCGAACAAGGAAAGAGAUUAUCAAAACUCACCAGUUCGAUUCGAUCGAUUGCACUUGCCAGCAGAAC
rnacentral:lncRNA from 1 species